GACGAACGCUGGCGGCGUGCCUAAUACAUGCAAGUAGAACGCACAGUUUAUACCGUAGCUUGCUACACCAUAGACUGUGAGUUGCGAACGGGUGAGUAACGCGUAGGUAACCUGCCUGGUAGCGGGGGAUAACUAUUGGAAACGAUAGCUAAUACCGCAUAAUAUUAAUUAUUGCAUGAUAAUUAAUUGAAAGGUGCAAUUGCACCACUACCAGAUGGACCUGCGUUGUAUUAGCUAGUAGGUGAGGUAGCGGCUCACCUAGGCGACGAUACAUAGCCGACCUGAGAGGGUGAUCGGCCACACUGGGACUGAGACACGGCCCAGACUCCUACGGGAGGCAGCAGUAGGGAAUCUUCGGCAAUGGACGAAAGUCUGACCGAGCAACGCCGCGUGAGUGAAGAAGGUUUUCGGAUCGUAAAGCUCUGUUGUAAGAGAAGAACGGGUGUGAGAGUGGAAAGUUCACACUGUGACGGUAUCUUACCAGAAAGGGACGGCUAACUACGUG
rnacentral:rRNA from 1 species